rnacentral:lncRNA from 1 species
UGAAGGAUUCAAGUAGGAGGACCAAAAUGAACACCUUUCAUAGUUGGUAGACUGCAUACUGCUACCCUCUAUGCGACCGCAUAGAGCCAAACCGAACUUAAAAUGACAGAAUUUUUACUCUAUGCGACCGCAUAGAGUUGCUCUAUGCGGUCACAUAGAGCAAUUCUCGGGUAAAAUUGCAGUUUCCUUUUUCCGCCAAAACUCUUAUGGAAACAAUAUUUUUAGGGUCCUAUAUAAACAAAAACUUGACCAGAAUGAAGGGGACGCCAUUUUUACAAGUUUUUGAGAGAUUUUGAAGGAGAAACGUGGAGAGAACAAGAGGACAACAUCGCGUCAAGUGAAGAUUGAUUCGGGUGAUGACGUUUCUUCAGCUAUUUUUAUGUUUUCUUCUUUUUAGCAUUUAGGCUAGAUUUUUCAUUGCUAGGAGAUCGACGAACCUUGUAAUACUACGUUUGAUUUUUUAUUUGGAUAUUUGACAUCUUUAAAUGUAUAUUCCGG